rnacentral:precursor_RNA from 14 species
CCCAGUCCUUUGCUGCCCUCCUGGGUCCUGGGCUUGUUUUAAGUUGCCUGUGAUUGUUGGAUAGAGCACAGGCAGCUAAAGCAAGUCUGGGAAGCUGGAGACAAAUCUGCCCCACAAAC